rnacentral:lncRNA from 1 species
AUUUAAAACAAGAUCUAUACUCUUGAUCUUGAUUAUAAGACUUCUAUCAUCAUUUUUUAAAGAAUAUUCAUUUUCAGCCAUUCAUUUUUCUGUUCACUUGAUGGAUAAAAGAAUAAUAUCGAAAGUGCGUGAAAUUUGAUUUCUAGGUAGUUUAAAUGGUUUAUAUCAUAUUUAACGAAGCCGAUCGUCGAUUUGGAAGCUCUAUCAUCGAAAAUAAAUAGGUAGUAAAAUGGCUCGUUUACUACUGAUAGUAUUCUAGCUCAACACUCUCUCUCUCUCUCUAUAUAUAUAUAUAAAUAAAGACACCCACUAAUA